CAGGAAUCCAAAUUAUGGAGCAGCAGGAGUCCUUUUCUGUGUGGCCUUAUGGCUUCCAGAAUUGUAUUUUCAACCAUGAAUUUCUCCUGAUGGUUUAUGUGGCGGGAAGGGUUUGUCAGAGCUGCGAAGGAUGAGUCUUUUCAAUUUCCAGCUGGUAAGAAAUCCAGACUAUUAAAUAUACACAUGAAAAGGUUAGGCCACAUGCCAUUAUCUAAUGAAGUUUUUUUCUUCUAUUUCAGCUGACUGGGAUUUUACAUUUAAGAUUUUAAAUUUUAAAUUUAUUUGUGGUUAAAUUUGAUUGUUUCACCCGAAGGGGGUUUCGGUGAAGAGGAUGCUUGCCGUAGGCUGAAGCUUUGGUUGCGGUGGUGCUCUUUUGAAUUACUGCGCCUGGGGCAACCGCUUUGGCUCACUGAAGGAUGGCUUGCAUGUGCAGCGGUAACUUCUGGCUUGAAGGUUGGUGGCAUUUCUCUUUCCUGGAAGCAAGUGUUAAAUUUAGUUAAAUUUAGUUUCUAUCAUCUAUGUUGGCACUGAUACUUAGGGACUAACCAGUUUUAGGCAAUGCUUGUAAAUCACUCAGAACCAUAUUUGCACGGCCCAGCUCUAUCGUCUGGCAAUGUUAAUUUAGGAUAAGGUGCUAAGCUUAAGCUUUUAUUGCUGAUUUACAAGCUGUACUUUGCAUUGUGUCCAUUUAGAGAAAUAAAACUGUGUGUCACAA
rnacentral:lncRNA from 1 species